UAAGACGAAGGGGGCUAGCGUUGUUCGGAAUUACUGGGCGUAAAGCGAGUGUAGGCGGUUGUCAUAGUCAGGUGUGAAAGCCUUGAGCUCAACUCAAGAAAUGCACUUGAUACUGGGCGACUAGAGGACCGGAGAGGAUAGUGGAAUUCCCAGUGUAGUGGUGAAAUACGUAGAGAUUGGGAAGAACACCAGUGGCGAAGGCGGCUAUCUGGACGGUUACUGACGCUAAGACUCGAAAGCGUGGGGAGCAAACAGGAUUAGAUACCCUGGUAGUCCACGCCGUAAACGAUGGGUGCUAGACGUUGGCGAGCUUGCUCGUCAGUGUCGCAGCUAACGCGUUAAGCACCCCGCCUGGGGAGUACGGCCGCAAGGUUGAAACUCAAAUGAAUUGACGG
rnacentral:rRNA from 1 species